UACGUAGGGUGCAAGCGUUAAUCGGAAUUACUGGGCGUAAAGCGUGCGCAGGCGGCUUUGCAAGACAGAUGUGAAAUCCCCGGGCUUAACCUGGGAACUGCACUUGUGACUGCAUGGCUGGAGUGCGGCAGAGGGGGAUGGAAUUCCGCGUGUAGCAGUGAAAUGCGUAGAUAUGCGGAGGAACACCGGUGGCGAAGGCGGCAUCCUGGACCGGUAUUGACGCUGAGGCGCGAAAGCCAAAAGAGCAAACGGG
rnacentral:rRNA from 1 species